CCUACGGGGGGCAGCAGUAGGGAAUAUUGCUCAAUGGGGGAAACCCUGAAGCAGCAACGCCGCGUGGAGGAUGAAGGUUUUCGGAUUGUAAACUCCUUUUGUUAGAGAAGAUAAUGACGGUAUCUAACGAAUAAGCACCGGCUAACUCCGUGCCAGCAGCCGCGGUAAUACGGAGGGUGCAAGCGUUACUCGGAAUCACUGGGCGUAAAGAGCGCGUAGGCGGGAUAGCAAGUCAGAUGUGAAAUCCUAGGGCUUAACCAUAGAACUGCAUUUGAAACUGGUAGUCUAGAGUAUGGGAGAGGUAGGUGGAAUGCUUGGUGUAGGGGUAAAAUCCGUAGAGAUCAAGAGGAAUACUCAUUGCGAAGGCGACCUGCUAGAACAUAACUGACGCUGAUGCGCGAAAGCGUGGGGAGCAAACAGGAUUAGAUACCCCUGUAGUC
rnacentral:rRNA from 1 species